UUUUUUUCCGAUUUUGUUCAAAUUUUCAUGAAAAACGCAUGAUGUUCAACUAGAUUUUGCGAUUUUUCAAUUUGAUUUUUCCGAUUUUAAUUCGAUUUUUGUGAUUUGAUUUAUGCGAUUUUCAGAUUUUUAAUUUUCGAUUUUAUUUGGCAAUUUUAUCAAAUUUUUUUUCCUGCGAUUUUGUUCGAUUUCUUGUGCGAUUUGCGUGUUUUGUUCAUCAAUUUUGUUUGAUUUCCAGUGCGAUUUUGUGACUUUUGCUCAUCAAUUUUUUCGACUUUUUUUCAUCAAUUUUGUUCGAUUUCCUGUUUGAUUUCGCUUGGUUUUUGUUCGUUUUCAUUUGUGAUUUUUGUUCAAUGGCAAAAACCUUAUGUUCCUGGGUUACUUGAUGAAGUGAGAAUAGGUCAGAAUGUUGUUGUCAUUUCUUGUAAAUUGAAAUUGCUAUCUGUGGAUACUACAUUCAGAAAUGGAGAGGCAACAAUAAAAGCCUUUGUUUCUGUUAGUUUGUCUCUUGGAGACCAGCCGCUUGCUGCUCAAUUUCAGGAAAUUCCUGCAGAGCUUCGGAUGUCAGAAGCUGAGAGGGUUGGAUAUGAACUUUUGAAAUCAACUGUGGCGGACAAAAUUCCAAGUGAUUUGGAAGGCAUGGAAAGUACUCUGGAGAGGUUGCUGGCUUUAAUUGAAAUGGACCAAAGCAAACCUGAUUUGAAAUGGAUUAACGCAAUUCCUAUCAACAAGAACACAUCAAGUUAUGGCCUUUUAAUUUGAAGUUGAUUAGAAAGUGAAAUUAGCCUAACAGCCUUACCAAAAGAUGACCAUCACCUCAAGUAUGACCCCACCUGUAUUUGAAUUGACCCUACUACUACUGCUUGAAGUUAUGCUAUGCCUAAUAGUGGCAAAAGUUAUACAGUUUAUAAAGUAUAUAAUGUAUGAUAUUGGUGUUUGAUUCACUAAUGCCUAGUAAUGGCAAAAGUUAUACAAUUUAUAAAGUAUAUAAUGUAUGAUAUUGGUGUUUGACUCACUAAUGCCUAAUAAUGGCAAAAGUUAUACAGUCUAUAAAGUAUAUAAUGCAUGAUAUUGGUGUUUGGUUCACUAGUCCUCUUUGGCUUUGGUGGUGGCUUUCAAGAUUCUUGAAACCAGAGGUCUAGGGUUCAAGGACUAGUGGAAAAACAGCUACAGAGGAAAGAUACUAGAUGAGUGCAAGUUCUGUGGCAGGGAGGGUACUAUUACAAUGAUACCAAAAUCUGGCCGCUAUCUAACAGGUGAUGACUGUGAAGCUGGAAAGUUUGUCCGUUUGAUGAGCUCUAGCUUUGACUGCCGGGGUUUGGAGCCAGUGGACUACUCCUUUGGUGGUGACAAGGAGGAGUGGGAGAAAUUAUCUGAUGACAAGUAGGAGCAUGAGAAAUUAUCUGAUGACAAGGAGGCCGGAGAAGGAGAAGUUAUCUGAUGAUAGUUACCUUACUUUUGUAAAUAGUGACAUCUAUAAAAAUGUGGUCAAUGUUGUCAAAAUUUAUAUAAUUACCUUAUUUUUAUA